rnacentral:rRNA from 1 species
GGAGGUAGUGACAAUAAAUCUCAAUACGAAGCCUUUGGUUUUGUAAUUGAAUUGAGAACAAUGUACAAUCGUUAUCGAUAAACAAUUGGAGGGCAAGUCUGGUGCCAGCAGCCGCGGUAAUUCCAGCUCCAAUAGCGUAUAUUAACGUUGUUGCAGUUAAAAAGCUCGUAGUUGAAGUUGAGAUGAGUUGUUGAGAGUGUUUGUACGGCUUCGUACGUACAUUCAAUUUGCUUUCAACGAGUCAUCGGCUUCCAGAUGGGUAUUUCUUGUUGAAUUCUUUCGGGAAUUCUUGAAUUUGAAAUACUAGACUGGUCAUUUACUGUGAGAAAAUUAGAGUGUUUAAAGCAGACUUUAAAUUACUGUAGAGUUUGAAUAGAUUAGCAUGGAAUAAUAAUAUUGGCUUUCAUAGUCGAUUUUUUGGUUUGUUUAUGAAAGCAAGAUUAAUAGGGACAGUUGGGGGUAUUCAUAUUCAAUAGCUAGAGGUGAAAUUCUAUGAUUUAUGGAAGAUGAACAAGUGCGAAAGCA